UUCAUUUUAUUCAAUAUAAGAAAAAUCCAUACAAUUUGAGCAAAGUUGUAAGAGAGAUGUAUGCCCUUAAAUCCAUCCAAAUUGAGCAAUCUUGUGGGAGAGUUGUAUUCUCAUGAGACUCCAUUUGGGAAUUGAUAUAGGCAAACUCGAUAGACGAGAUGUAUGUCACAACUUGAAAAACUUGUCCUAAAGGAUGUAUGCCUAUUACUCUCUCUAUUGACUUUAAAUUGAUCUCAUUUAUAUAUUUUCAAAAAAGAUGAAAGAUCACAUCCAUAUCCUCUUUCGAAAUUGAGGACAACCUAAAUUGAAAGAUUAGACAAAAAUUAACCAUAAGAUCAACUGACCCCACUUAUUACUCAUCACUCAUCAAUUGAAUACCCGACUUAUUUAUCCACAUCAAUGAGAUCCAGGGUAUGCAUGGAUGGAUCCCACGCCUGGCCAUCCUUUUCUUUAGCUUCAUCAUUUUCCUCAUUGAUAUGAGCUGGUGAAAUUGAAAAUAAUGGACUUUUUAAUAAUGAUCUUGUGGGGCAAUUUUGGUCAGCCAUUGCUCAGUCUUAGCAGAAAUCCCAUCCUGCAGCGAAGAUUUUGCCAUAGAAAUUUAAUGGGUCAUCAUAGUUUCUACUUUGGGAGUAAAAGGCAAAGUAGUGGAUUUCACAAUCAUAGUCUUGUGGACCAAAUUUGGUCCGCCGUCGCCAAAUUUGGUGGACCAAAUUUGGACUGCCAUCGCCAAAUUUGGUCCACCAAAUUUGAUCCGCCAUCGCCAAAUUUGAACACAAAUCCCACUCGCUUCAUAAAUACUGGGCAUUCCUGUGCAUCCAAGACUAGAUAUUUAAUUCCUCCAAUUCAAUUCAAUUCAACAGAAAAAUGGAAGCAGAAGCACUAGAGAAUGCGGCAGCGUCUACACAGGAGGCCUUUGAGACCAUGUUCUCCUUUGUACCGGCCCUUGUUCUGAAAUCAGCCCUCCUCCUGCAAAUCCCAGACAUAAUUGCAAGCCAAGGCCCGAGCGCCUCUCUUUCCCUCCACCAAAUCGCCGCCCGACUUCCGACCCAGACACCCAAUCUUGACUAUCUCUUUCGCAUCCUCCGAUAUCUUUCGGCCAGGGGCGUUUUCAUUCAAUCCCAAGCGGGUGACGACACCUCGGAGGUUCGAUUCUCGCUGAGCGACUGCACAAAGCUUAUGUACGUUAGGGAGAACAAUCCGGCGAGCCUGGUUCCAUCGGUUGUGAUGCAGAUCCAUGAAGUGAUGAUGGCCACGUGGCACCAUCUCCAUGAAUGCGUGCUCCAUGGCGGCCAUGCGUUUGAGAAGGCUCACGGGAUGGACAUUUGGGCUUAUGGGAAGGCUUAUCCGGAGGUUAAUUCUAUCAUCAAUGAGUGUAUGGCGUCUUUCACCAUGACGCCCAUGAGAUUGUGAAUUGUUACAGAGGAUUUGAGGAAUUGGGGACGGUUGUGGACGUUGGCGGCGGGCAUGGAGUGGCUUUGGGGGUGAUUGUGAAGGCAUAUCCGCAUGUUCGAGGAAUCAACUUUGAUCUUCCCCACGUUGUUCAGACUGCACCGGCUAUUCCAGGUAUUGAGCACGUGGAAGGCAAUAUGUUUGAGAGCAUACCACAUGGAGAUGGCAUAAUUUUGAAGAAUGUAUUACAUGAUUGGGAUGAUGAGAGUUGUGUGAAGAUAGUUGACAAUUGCUAUAAGGCUUUGGGUGAAAAAGGAAAACUUAUAUUGUUAGAAGUCGUUGUACCCAAUUUGAAGGUACCAACUAAAUGUCCUGAAAUGCUUGGUGAUUUGGGUAUGAUGGCUCAUGGAAAUGGAGGACGAGAAAGGAGUGAGCAAGACUGGAAUAUGCUACUUUCAAAGCCAUCCUUCUAUAUCAUCAAAAUCACGGGACAUUCUAGAAUGUAUUCAAAGAUUAUAGAAGCCGAGAAGCUAAAAAUAAUGUAAUAUUGAUCUAUUCUAAUUUGUGAUCGCCCAAUGAGAGAUAUUAAAUUAAUUUAUAAACAUUGUAUUUGUUUGUAUGAUAUUAAAUAAUACCAAGCUAUUUAUAUUUUUAUA